rnacentral:rRNA from 2 species
AAAUUGAAGAGUUUGAUCAUGGCUCAGAUUGAACGCUGGCGGCAGGCCUAACACAUGCAAGUCGAACGGUAACAGGAAACAGCUUGCUGUUUCGCUGACGAGUGGCGGACGGGUGAGUAAUGUCUGGGAAACUGCCUGAUGGAGGGGGAUAACUACUGGAAACGGUAGCUAAUACCGCAUAAUGUCGCAAGA